CCCUUAGACGUUCUGGGCCGCACGCGCGCUACACUGACGAAGGCAACGAGCUUUCCUUUACCGAAAGGUACGGGUAAUCUUUUGAAACUUCGUCGUGCUGGGGAUAGAUCCUUGCAAUUAUUGAACUUAAACGAGGAAUUCCUAGUAAGCGCAAGUCAUCAACUUGCGUUGAUUACGUCCCUGCCCUUUGUACACACCGCCCGUCGCUACUACCGAUUGAAUGGUUUAGUGAGGCCUUCGGAUCCGCGACUCGUUUUGUGGAGAAGUUGGACAAACUCAGUCAUUUAGAGGAAGUAAAAGUCGUAACA
rnacentral:rRNA from 1 species